rnacentral:sRNA from 1 species
UGAAUUUAGGCGGUAA